rnacentral:rRNA from 1 species
UCCGUAGGCGGGUAAUUAAGUCAGAGGUGAAAUCCCACAGCUCAACUGUGGAACUGCCUUAGAUACUGGUUAUCUUGAGUUUUAGUGAAGUAGAUAGAAUGUGUAGUGUAGCGGUGAAAUGCAUAGAUAUUACACAGAAUACCGAUUGCGAAGGCAGUCUACUAACUAACAACUGACGCUAAUGGACGAAAGCGUGGGGAGCGAACAGGAUUAGAUACACUGGUAGUCC